rnacentral:other from 1 species
AUUUCUCUGAGAUGUUUGCAAGCGGGCCGGUCCCCUGAAUUGAUAUUUCAUACCACAAGGAAAUGUGGCGCUCCGCGGUUGAGUGAGCAUGCUCGGUUCGUCCGAAGCCUUAAAACUGUGACGACACAUUCACCUUCGGAACUGGGGUUCAGGGUUGCAACCUGCGGCGGCAUCUCCGGAGAUCCC